GACUGCCUAUGACAAAGGAGUGUGGCAUUGCACCCUGUAGGUCAAAAAUGUGGACAAUCUGGCUAAGAAGAGAGCAAGACAGAAGGAGACCCUUAAUACAACAUCUGAGAGAACUGUGAAAUGGUUCCUGGAUACUGAAGGAAUGAACAGCAGAUAGCAGCACUAUUAAAUAAAAUGAAUGCAUUUCACCUUCCAGCUUAGCUGUGCUUCCUGGGACACAAGGCACAAACAUGAAAAGGUUGGGGUGGCAUUUCAAGAAAACUGAUUUGCUUCAACAUUGAUUUGGUAAGAUGCUAGACACAAAAUAAUACCACAAACCGCCUCCCAUUCCCAUCAUUGUAAAUUCAGAGUCCUCAAUAUCAUCCCCCACAAACCCAAUUAAAAAUAAAGAGGCAGGCUACGAAUUUGCAUCUAGUUCUAUGACACAGAUCAAACGAUAGGCAUCUGUUCCAAUCGGUCACAAUGAAACUAAGGGACAAUAACCAGAAUAAAUUUCACAUUAAUCCAAAUAAAGCCAAUGAAUAAUAAUAUAAACCAGAAGCAUAGUUUCAAAAACAUGCAAUUACUUCCAGGCAUGCAAGGACAUAUGUAACCCAUAAAAAUGGUUGCAAAGCACACCCUACAUAUAAAUAUGCUUCAUAAAUGCAAUAUAAAUGCUAAGUGACAUGUGUAUAUAUGAUAUGUAUAUCCAUAAGAUAUACAUGUGUAAGCUCACAGUCAAAUCUACAUAUAAAAUAAAACUGGGUCUUGCAAAUGAUUUCUCAACAAGAGUAUAUUAGAAUAUAAAAUAAAAUGUCAAAUUCUGGGGCCACUUUUUCUAAGCAAUCAAUAAAAUAAGCAAAACCACCUUAUCAUGAGUCUGGUAAGCUUAUGAGACACCAAAUGUAUUUCUGAAGAAGGCCCAACCCUGUAUGUGAGAGCUGCAAAUGAAAUGAUUCCUUUCAAUAACACCCUCUUCUUGUUGUUAGCUCUUUUUCCAACCCCUGAUGCUGUUGCUAAGCUUAGGAAAAAAGGCACCAAGUGGCUCAGUCUGCAUUCUGAGCCAGUUAGAGAUAAAAUCAGAACACCAUUUUUUUUUUUUUUUUUUAACACAAGCGGUUGUCUUCUCACUUCUCUCUUCCUGGCAAGCUUCCUCUCCCUCCAUCCUCAUCUCUGUCUCCACAUCUCCCCCUUCUAGUCUGAGGCACGGGAGUCAUUGUUCAAGUUCAGGCCAGAAAUGUAUACACAGGUCAAAUAAUAACACUCUAAACCAAGAAGGGAGCCCUACUGUUUCCUACUCACCA